CUGACUUUAUCUCACUUGGUAGAGCAGAGGACUGUAAUGGGAUACGAAGUCCUGAUUGUUAUUCUUAGGUAGCUGGUUCAAAUCCGGCAAGUCGGA
rfam:Picea glauca, whole genome shotgun sequence.